AUGUUCACUUUGGCAGCAUACACGCUAACACUGGAGGGGUACAGAGAAGACUAGCUUGGCUCCUGCUCAAGGGGGACAUGAAAAUUUAUGCAGAGUUCCAUAAAGAA